GACGAACGCUGGCGGCGUGCUUAACACAUGCAAGUCGAACGGAAAGGCCCUGCUUUUGUGGGGUGCUCGAGUGGCGAACGGGUGAGUAACACGUGAGUAACCUGCCCUUGACUUUGGGAUAACUUCAGGAAACUGGGGCUAAUACCGGAUAGGAGCUCCCGCUGCAUGGUGGGGGUUGGAAAGUUUCGGCGGUUGGGGAUGGACUCGCGGCUUAUCAGCUUGUUGGUGGGGUAGUGGCUUACCAAGGCUUUGACGGGUAGCCGGCCUGAGAGGGUGACCGGCCACAUGGGGACUGAGAUACGGCCCAGACUCCUACGGGAGGCAGCAGUGGGGAAUAUUGCACAAUGGGCGGAAGCCUGAUGCAGCAACGCCGCGUGCGGGAUGACGGCCUUCGGGUUGUAAACCGCUUUCGCCUGUGACGAAGCGUGAGUGACGGUAAUGGGUGAAGAAGCACCGGCUAACUACGUG
rnacentral:rRNA from 1 species